UCCUUUUGUAGAUAAUCUAAGGUCUAGCCUGCCCACUGAAGUUUUAAAUGGCCGUGGUAUUUUGACCGUGCUAAGGUAGCAUAAUCAUUAGUUUUUUAAUUAAAAACUGGAAUGAAAGGUUGGAUGAGAAAAUAGCUGUCUCUAUUAAAUUUAAUUAGAAUUUUAUUUUUAAGUUAAAAAGCUUAGUUAUUGUUAAAAGACGAGAAGACCCUAUAGAGUUUAAUUAUUUAGUAAAAAUUAUAUUUUAGUAUUAAUUUAUUUAUUUUAUUAAAUAAUUUAAUUGGGGUGAUUGAAAAAUUUAAUUAACUUUUUUUAUUUAAUAACAUUAAUUUAUGAAUAAAUGAUCCAAUAUUUUUGAUUAUAAGAUAAAAUUACCUUAGGGAUAACAGCGUAAUUUUUUUAGAAAGUUCAUAUUAAAAAAAAAGAUUGCGACCUCGAUGUUGGAUUAAAAUAGAUUUUUGGUGUAGAAGCUAAAAUAUUAGGUCUGUUCGACCUUUAAAAUUUUACAUGAU
rnacentral:rRNA from 1 species